AUGGACAGACAGACACACACGGACACACACAGCCAGACUCGCACACCGCGCACCCCCGCACCCCCGCGGACACGCGCGUCCCCCGCACACGCACCUCGCUCAGCUCUCGCGCCCGCCCGCUCCGCGCACACACCGCACCCUCUCGGCACUGCCUGUAUUUGCACACCCGCUCGCUCCCCGGCACCUCCGCGCACACACACGCAUCCACUGUCACGCUGUUCCCAUCCCACGGUCUCGCCCAGCCCGGCUCUCCGCCCCGCCCGGAGAGAGGAGCGGCCCCGCGGAGCGGGUCCCACUGUCCCCGGGGAUGGGCGUGCGAGGGGCGGCUGGAGGCGACCACCGUGCGGCCGCUGCGCAGCCUCCGCGGGCCGGCCGGGAGUGCGCAAAGUCCGGCCGCGAGGGGGUGAAAGCUGCCGGCCCCGUUCCGCGUGUGCGCCGGGGCACGGACGGGCUCCGCUCCGGCUGCCGGUGUGCGGCUGUGCUUGCUGGAAGCCCCGAGGGCAGCGCUUUCCCCAUGGCCUCGCGUGUCAGCCAGGGAGGGCUGAGCUGCCGGCCCCGAGGGCGGGGGACCCCGCGGACAGAGGGACCCUGCGGGGAUGGAGGGACCCCGCGCACGAAGGGUCCCCGCGGAGCGGGCGCUGCCGGUGGCCCUGGGCAGCGCGGGGGGGCAGUGGCACCUGGUGGCCGCGGCGCCUCACUGCACCCGCCGGGCCGAGCAGCAUCCCCCCGAUGCAGCAUCCCCCCGAUGCAGCAUCCCCCGACGGCGGAGGGGAGGACGGGGCGGCAGAGCAGCCGGAGAUGGGGCAGCCCCGAACUGCCGCGCCGACCCCAGCCCGGCUCAGCCCCGCUCCACGGGCACCCACGGCGGCCCCACGCCACAGCACAGGCUCAGCACACUCGCUCCUGGCAGCACCCCAGGGGAAGCAGGCCUGGACAGGCAGCUGCCCCGCAGGAUGCCCCACGCCUGGAAAGCCUCCCCAGGCGCUCCCCGACAUCACAGGGGCUGGCAUCACCCACCUCCAUGGCUGCAUGGGGAGCUCUGUAACAGCAAAGGAACGAUAG
rnacentral:lncRNA from 13 species